UAAAGCAAGAAAAUCUAAAAUAAAUAAAAACAAGUAAAAAACAGCUAAGUUCGGCCGGGCUGAACUUUUAAUGCACUCCACCAUUUGGAAGAAACUUGACAAAUUAAAAAAAAUCCGAAAACUACUACUUAAGUGUGGACUAUAUGAACAGAAAAUACCGAAUAUCGGGAGUUACCGUUAUAUGGGGGCUAUACGAAAACGUGGACAGACAUGGCCCAUUUACGAACUUAACCUGCCUAUUGGGAAAAUAUGCAUGUAAGGAAAAUUUUAGCCAACUAUUUCAAUUCGUUCGAAAGAUAGCGUGAUUACAACAGACAGACGGACGGCUAAAUCGUCUUAGAAUUUUACGCUGAUCCAGAAUAUAUAUACUUUGUAAGGACUAUCAUGAAUAUUUCUAGGAGUUACAAACGGAAUGACAAUGCUAAUAUACCCCUCAUAGAAUGGUGAAGGGUAUUAAAAAAAAUUAAAGGCAAAAUCGUAAAUUUAUUGCAAGAAUUAUUAUAAUAUUUAGUUCAGCAUAUUUAAUUUUUUACCAUUGCAAAUCAAAUGGCAGACAAGUAAAAUUUUUUGUUUUUAUACGUACGAAAAAUGUGAAUGAAUGAAAUAAAAAUUUGAUUGUCUGGGUAGUAAUUGCUUGUCUGCCUUGAAGAAAAGUUCUGUGAAGACUUCCAUACUUUAGGUCAUGUUUUGAAUGCAAGUUUUUCGAUAGCUUAAAAGAGAUCCUCCAUCAUCAUAAAGGGCACAAAAUUUUAAUUUUAAAUUCCAAUUUUAGUCACCCCUUAGAGCGCCACUACUCCUACGGUCAGUUUAUUAUGGCAGGGCUCUUCUGUGUUCGGUCUGUAGACAAACAGGUUUUUCUUUCGCCCAACAGCAACGAACAUAGCCCGACACACCAAAAAUGUACAUGUUGCCAUAUUUCAUCUGAAUACUUGUUUGUGAUCAGUUGACGCAAUAAAAUCGAAUAAUCCGUUUCACUCUCCCCCCCCAACCCAAAAAAAAAAACACACACAUUCUAUAAACUGAACGAGAGAGCAAAAGAGCAGACAUUCGAAAUAAAACGUUUAUAUUAUCAGGCACUUGACACACACAUACAUCCAUUUUGUGUCGACGGAUGUCGAUAUACGAGAUAUAGUGAAUACACAUGCACUCUGGUCGUCUUCCUGAGUCAUACAAAGCCACUGAGUGAAAAGCGGUAACACAGCAAGACAGCACAAGGCAACAACACCACAAUGCGUUGGAACUGCUUGCCAUCCAUUCAUUCAGUCAGCCAGCAAGCAGAGCAAUGGUGUACAUUGAGUUUUUGUUCUUUUGUGUGUAGCCGAAGCUGUUGCUUCGUUGUUUAUGCUUACGUAGAAGUUUGUGCAGCUGUUAAAUGUGGCAACAAUGCCCAGCCUAAGCAGACAGAAUGUCGCCACUUCAUGCGAUUUUACCAGACAUAGUGUCGACGUUUAGAUUUAAGUCGAAAUGCCUUACCUUGCUUUGAGUUUAUUCAAUUCAACAACUGCAUAUGAAACAACAACUGAGUAUACCAUUCAACCAGUCAGUCAAGUCAACAAAUCAACCAUUAAAACGCGUGGUUUUCUAUAAGUCUGUCCAUCAGUCUGCCGGUCUGUCUGAUGAGAUGUUUAGUAAGCACGAUAUACAUUACACAUAUGUAUGUAUCCUAUAUACGUAUAUGUACCUAAAUAAAUGCAAUAAAUACGUACCGUAGAUUUCUACAUAUAUAUAUAUAUAUAUAUAUAUAUAUAUAUAUAUAUAUAUAUAUAU